rfam:Beauveria bassiana D1-5 contig00901, whole genome shotgun sequence.
CACGGUUGGUGGCGUACUCCCUGAACUCGGGCGGUGCGAUCGCGUACGCUGUUUAACAGCGCAGAUACCAGGCCCGCCAACGAUGCGGGCUUUUUUUU